UUGAACGCUGGCGGCAGGCCUAACACAUGCAAGUCGAACGGUAACAGGAAGCAGCUUGCUGUUUCGCUGACGAGUGGCGGACGGGUGAGUAAUGUCUGGGAAACUGCCUGAUGGAGGGGGAUAACUACUGGAAACGGUAGCUAAUACCGCAUAACGUCGCAAGACCAAAGAGGGGGACCUUCGGGCCUCUUGCCAUCGGAUGUGCCCAGAUGGGAUUAGCUAGUAGGUGGGGUAACGGCUCACCUAGGCGACGAUCCCUAGCUGGUCUGAGAGGAUGACCAGCCACACUGGAACUGAGACACGGUCCAGACUCCUACGGGAGGCAGCAGUGGGGAAUAUUGCACAAUGGGCGCAAGCCUGAUGCAGCCAUGCCGCGUGUAUGAAGAAGGCCUUCGGGUUGUAAAGUACUUUCAGCGGGGAGGAAGGGAGUAAAGUUAAUACCUUUGCUCAUUGACGUUACCCGCAGAAGAAGCACCGGCUAACUCCGUGCCAGCAGCCGCGGUAAUACGGAGGGUGCAAGCGUUAAUCGGAAUUACUGGGCGUAAAGCGCACGCAGGCGGUUUGUUAAGUCAGAUGUGAAAUCCCCGGGCUCAACCUGGGAACUGCAUCUGAUACUGGCAAGCUUGAGUCUCGUAGAGGGGGGUAGAAUUCCAGGUGUAGCGGUGAAAUGCGUAGAGAUCUGGAGGAAUACCGGUGGCGAAGGCGGCCCCCUGGACGAAGACUGACGCUCAGGUGCGAAAGCGUGGGGAGCAAACAGGAUUAGAUACCCUGGUAGUCCACGCCGUAAACGAUGUCGACUUGGAGGUUGUGCCCUUGAGGCGUGGCUUCCGGAGCUAACGCGUUAAGUCGACCGCCUGGGGAGUACGGCCGCAAGGUUAAAACUCAAAUGAAUUGACGGGGGCCCGCACAAGCGGUGGAGCAUGUGGUUUAAUUCGAUGCAACGCGAAGAACCUUACCUGGUCUUGACAUCCACGGAAGUUUUCAGAGAUGAGAAUGUGCCUUCGGGAACCGUGAGACAGGUGCUGUAUGGCUGUCGUCAGCUCGUGUUGUGAAAUGUUGGGUUAAGUCCCGCAACGAGCGCAACCCUUAUCCUUUGUUGCCAGCGGUCCGGCCGGGAACUCAAAGGAGACUGCCAGUGAUAAACUGGAGGAAGGUGAGGAUGACGUCAAGUCAUCAUGGCCCUUACGACCAGGGCUACACACGUGCUACAAUGGCGCAUACAAAGAGAAGCGACCUCGCGAGAGCAAGCGGACCUCAUAAAGUGCGUCGUAGUCCGGAUUGGAGUCUGCAACUCGACUCCAUGAAGUCGGAAUCGCUAGUAAUCGUGGAUCAGAAUGCCACGGUGAAUACGUUCCCGGGCCUUGUACACACCGCCCGUCACACCAUGGGAGUGGGUUGCAAAAGAAGUAGGUAGCUUAACCUUCGGGAGGGCGCUUACCACUUUGUGAUUCAUGACUGGGGUG
rnacentral:rRNA from 1 species